rfam:Schistosoma mattheei strain Denwood, Zambia genome assembly, scaffold: SMTD_scaffold0003277
ACUCAUCUGACGAGUUCUGAAUAGGACGAAACUCGUGUCCUGAAU